AGCGGACGUACCUCUGGCGCACCAGUUGUUCUGCCAAGGGCAUAGCUGGGCAACUAUGUACGGAUCGGAUAAACGCUGAAAGCAUCUAAGCGUGAAGCCGACCCAAAGAUAAGAUAUCCCAUUGUUUUAAACAAGUAAGACCCCUUGAAGACUACAAGGUUGAUAGGCACGAUGUGUAAGUGGAGUGAUCCAUUCAGCAAGCGUGUACUAAUAGGUCGAGGGCUUGACCAC
rnacentral:rRNA from 1 species